AUUGAACGCUGGCGGCAGGCCUAACACAUGCAAGUCGAGCGGAUGAAGGGAGCUUGCUCCUGGAUUCAGCGGCGGACGGGUGAGUAAUGCCUAGGAAUCUGCCUGGUAGUGGGGGAUAACGUCCGGAAACGGGCGCUAAUACCGCAUACGUCCUGAGGGAGAAAGUGGGGGAUCUUCGGACUUCACGCUAUCAGAUGAGCCUAGGUCGGAUUAGCUAGUUGGUGGGGUAAAGGCCUACCAAGGCGACGAUCCGUAACUGGUCUGAGAGGAUGAUCAGUCACACUGGAACUGAGACACGGUCCAGACUCCUACGGGAGGCAGCAGUGGGGAAUAUUGGACAAUGGGCGAAAGCCUGAUCCAGCCAUGCCGCGUGUGUGAAGAAGGUCUUCGGAUUGUAAAGCACUUUAAGUUGGGAGGAGGGGCAGUAAGUUAAUACCUUGCUGUUUUGACGUUACCAACAGAAUAAGCACCGGCUAACUUCGUG
rnacentral:rRNA from 1 species